rnacentral:tRNA from 1 species
GAGGGUAUAGCUCAGUGGUAGAGUGCAUGCUUAGCAUGCAUAAGGUCCUGGGUUCAAUCCCCAGUACUUCCU